UACGAAGGGUGCAAGCGUUACUCGGAAUUACUGGGCGUAAAGCGUGCGUAGGUGGUUCGUUAAGUCUGAUGUGAAAGCCCUGGGCUCAACCUGGGAAUGGCAUUGGAAACUGGCGACCUAGAGUGCGGUAGAGGGUAGUGGAAUUCCCGGUGUAGCAGUGAAAUGCGUAGAGAUCGGGAGGAACAUCUGUGGCGAAGGCGGCCACCUGGGCCGACCCUGACGCUGAGGCGCGAAGGCGUGGGGAGCAAACAGG
rnacentral:rRNA from 1 species